UACGUAGGGGGCCAGCGUUGUCCGGAAUCAUUGGGCGUAAAGCGCGCGUAGGCGGUCAGGUAAGUCCGGUGUGAAAGUCAAAGGCUCAACCUUUGAAUGCCGCUGGAAACUGCCUGACUUGAGUCCGGUAGGGGCGAGUGGAAUUCCUGGUGUAGCGGUGAAAUGCGCAGAUAUCAGGAGGAACACCAAUAGCGAAGGCAGCUCGCUGGGACGUUACUGACACUGAGGCGCGAAAGCGUGGGGAGCGAACAGG
rnacentral:rRNA from 1 species